GGGAUUUCAAUAUCUUCUCGGGAGAGAGGUUCAUGGACAGUGGACCUCUGCGCUCGGUUGGUGCUGAAAAUAUGUAUCGGCUUCGGGCACCUCCGUACAAUCUACCUGCCGAUAUCGUUCGUGUCUUGGAUUAAAAAACGCCUAGCCGUUUUCUCAGCACAUGCACCGAAGGCCUCGACCAGUGAAAACGAACAACUUCAGAUACUUAUCUUUUAGGCGUACACUGCCGUAAUGGAAAGGGACAAUGUAGCUAUCUAGCCAAAUUGCUAACACUGAGAGGACCCAGCACCAAAACUUCGUAUGGAGAUUAAAACGGUUAUCAAUCUAAUCUAUCAACGGAGGACAUUCACGCGAUUUGGGAUUUAUUCACUCACGGAGCCGGUGUGACUCCAUAUAGCUAACGUUACAGAAGGAGCUGAAGCUAUUCAAGAGUAUUGGGACACAUCCGAUCCCCACCUCCAUUCUGAUGAAUGGGGACUGAAUGAUACACUCAGGGAGAGAACAGUGGUACUCCUGUGCCGCUGGCAGCGGAUUCCAGGCUCCGUGGAGCGACGACUCACUCUGGGCUGCAGACCUCUGCCACCCCAUCGAUCUGCCACCCCAUCGAUACGCACACAGUCCAUUUGGAUGCAAAUGAGCUGUAUCCCGGCAGACAUCUAGAGGCCCUGCCACACACAUCUGGCUAAAGAGAGGAAGAUCACAAGUGACACCACAGCGGGGGUGGAGAGAGCGACCGUGCCCGUUGGAAAACCUGUUGGAUUUAAGUUCUCUUUAUUACAGAUUAUCACACUGCUCUCCUAACUGCCACCCUCCCCCUUCACACACACACCCACACACACUCGCACAGACACACACUCACACAGACGUAGAGACGGACACGAACAGAGACGGAUAGACGGAGACUAACACAGACACACACACUCCUCUAGAAGUAGCCCUAGAGAGUCACAUAAACGUCUCACAGUCACUCAGACUUGCGCUCCGAGACUCAGUUGGUUCUCAGGGGUCGUGGUGGGAGGGUGCCCCCCCCCCCUCUCGUUGCACUCCGCUGGGGGACGGAAGUAGAGGAAUGGCCCUGGGGGAAUGGCUGGCUGGCUGCCUCGCUCAGUGAGACGGAGGCUUAUGUAACUAACAAGCCCGCCUCAUCUUUCUCUCCUUGGCUAGCUAACACAGCUGGGCCUUGAGUCUACAGACACUGGGGAGGAGCUCAUCAGCCCCCCCACUAGGGAAUACAGCUUCCAGCUUCUAAUCUUCAGGCCCUCAUCCUUCCUCUCUGGGUUCAACUUCACAUUGCUAUUUUUUAAUUUUUUUAAUCCUUUUUAUUUUUUCAACCAUUUUUUCAGGAGGACAUUUUAAGGGUGUUUUGGAUAUGUGGGAUCGACCGCUGAGACUUCCUGCUUGUCUCCCAUUGGCUCAGGGAUGCCCCGACCAGAAAGAACAAAGUCUGAGAGUCCGUCUACGCGCACAUUGGCGUUUUUUAAGACGCUGUUUGGACUGAAGGGACAGCCAUUUAAUUAGUAAGGAAACUAGCUGACUUCUUGAUAUUCGUCUUCGCUGAUUUUUUUUGCUCUCGUUUUGAUGUUUUGUUUUUCCUAUCUCAUAUGACGAUUGAGAGACAAGACAGACAAGAAUCCACUUGGCCACAAUCAAAGGCCAUUUUGCUCUGCCUUUCUCUCUCCCUUGGUUUUUCUCUCUCCCUCAUUAUGCAUAUCGACUACCUGUUUACACACUAGACCAGCUACAGUGAUAGCCUACCUUUCUAUCGAGGCAGAAAAGAAACGAUUAAGUUGCGACCUUUUUAUGUCUUUUACCUGUGACAAAUCAAAAACCUUGCAGUCGGUCUCUACCUCCUCAAUCGCUUCAAACCCUUUUAAAAACGUCUGUGUCAGAACCAAAUCCAUACUCAGUCGAAUCUGCAUCACAGACCGAGUAGUGUACAGACUGAGCAGUCGACAGACCGUCCAAGCUACAGACCAAAACAACCUGUCAUCUUAGUCUGGGUGGGGAGAAGGUUAUUAGGUCGAUGUCAUUGAACUGGACCAGAGAUCUUUGAAAUAUUAAGUUAUUGCUGCGGGCUUUCAUUGAACAGGGAAUGUAUAGCAGGUCAACCAAGGUGAUCUGCCUCAUCCCCUGUACCUAACUGACAUUUUGACGCCCGAAAGUCGAGUUGUGUUUUUGAAACCAUUUCAAAGGCGACUAGAUGAGAGUAGGAUUGUAAUGAAUUAAGAAGAAAUGUAAGUUAAAACUGCUUUCACAAUCAUCCGCAUUAUGUUUUACUAGGACAUCCUACUUGUUUUCAUUUGAAAAGGGAGCGUCCAAGGUUUUUAUAUUCCACACCCAAACAAUCAAGCCAUAUCACAGCUUGUUCCUCUUUUCUAUUUGUUGCACUAUUUUAUUUUUGUAUCGUAAAAUCACUAAGCCUUCAAUGAAGUUAUUUACCUCUCGCACGCACGCACACAUUUCUUGAAAUUCCCCUUUAAAAUGUCAAGGCGUUGACCCAAAUCCACUGUAAGGAACCAGUUUAAAGACUAAAGGAAAAACCAAGCAAUUCAAAAGUAUCAGCCUUGAGAUUGACACACGAUUGAGCAGAAGUUGUUGUUGUUGUUGUCCCCCCCCCCUAUAAGCCAGUAGUUCACGCAUAGAGCGGCAACGCCUCAAUCUUACAAGAGCACGACUUUAAGUAGUGGCUCUGUUUACCUUUCAUGUUGACCUUUAUGUUGACCUGUGUGUUGUCCGGAGGACAGAGCAACAAAAGCCUUAUCGCGGAGGCUCUUUUAAGCCUCUAGCGGCUGGCAGAGUGCAUCUCAAUCAAAUACCCCCCCCCCUCUAUCUCUGUCUUACCCUCUCCUUUCAAAUAGCCUCUGUCUUAUCUUACCACCUCCUCUUGGACGAGGCCAACGGUCAAGUUGAAUAGACGUCAAACAACUUCAAGCAAAGGGACAGAGUUGUUUUAUUAACACGUGGUUUAGGGAGGGGCCAAUCUACCCCUUCUUUCUUUUCACCCCCCUCUUUCCGGUGAACAUGCAGAAACGCUGGUCUUCUCUCGUACUGGUCCGAUUGAGAAGGGGACUCCUCUACCUCCCUCUCUAACCACUUCAAUCCCUCUGUCUCUCCCUCCCUCUCUCUCUCUAUGUGCUCUUUCUCUUAAUCUCUCCCUCCCUCUUUAUCUAUAAUCCCUCCAUCCACACACCCCGAACAAAUCCUCCCUACCCCCUCAUCCCCACCCUCCCUGGGUGGGGUAAUUCCACCGUCCCGUCCCCCUCCCCUCUACCCCCUCCCUGAGUAAUCAAAGGCAUUAUAG
ensembl:lncRNA